CGUAUCACCCAAGACAACUUUACGGAGUUGACGAUUGACGGAGCGAAGCGACGUCAAAGCGUAUACAAAGUCGAGUUGGCUUAGGGAUACGUUCGUUGGGUAGGGGAGCGUUCUGUAAGCCUGUGAAGGUGGCCUGUGAGGGUUGCUGGAGGUAUCAGAAGUGCGAAUGCUGACAUAAGUAACGAUAAAGCGGGUGAAAAGCCCGCUCGCCGGAAGACCAAGGGUUCCUGUCCAACGUUAAUCGGGGCAGGGUGAGUCGACCCCUAAGGCGAGGCCGAAAGGCGUAGUCGAUGGGAAACGGGUUAAUAUUCCCGUACUUGGUGUUACUGCGAAGGGGGGACGGAGAAGGCUAUGUUGGCCGGGCGACGGUUGUCCCGGUUUAAGCGUGUAGGUGUGUGUUCCAGGUAAAUCCGGUUCACUUUAACACUGAGGCGUGAUGACGAGGCACUACGGUGCUGAAGCAACAAAUGCCCUGCUUCCAGGAAAAGCCUCUAAGCAUCAGGUAACACGAAAUCGUACCCCAAACCGACACAGGUGGUCAGGUAGAGAAUACCAAGGCGCUUGAGAGAACUCGGGUGAAGGAACUAGGCAAAAUGGUGCCGUAACUUCGGGAGAAGGCACGCUGACAUGUAGGUGAAGUGAUUUACUCA
rnacentral:rRNA from 1 species